rnacentral:rRNA from 1 species
AUUGAACGCUGGCGGAAUGCUUUACACAUGCAAGUCGAACGGCAGCACGGACUUCGGUCUGGUGGCGAGUGGCGAACGGGUGAGUAACAUAUCGGAACGUAUCCAACAAUGGGGGAUAACUAAUCGAAAGGUUGGCUAAUACCGCAUACGCCCUACGGGGGAAAGCUAGGGACCUUCGGGCCUGGCGUUAAUGGAGCGGCCGAUAUCUGAUUAGCUAGUUGGUGGGGUAAAGGCCCACCAAGGCGACGAUCAGUAGCUGGUCUGAGAGGACGACCAGCCACACUGGAACUGAGACACGGUCCAGACUCCUACGGGAGGCAGCAGUGGGGAAUUUUGGACAAUGGGCGCAAGCCUGAUCCAGCCAUUCCGCGUGAGUGAAGAAGGCCUUCGGGUUGUAAAGCUCUUUCGCAAGGGAAGAAAACUUACCCUCUAACAUAGGGUGAGGUUGACGGUACCUUGAUAAGAAGCACCGGCUAACUACGUGCCAGCAGCCGCCGCGG